CUCUUGGGUUGUAAACCUCUUUUCUCAGGGAAGAAAAAAAUGACGGUACCUGAGGAAUAAGCAUCGGCUAACUCCGUGCCAGCAGCCGCGGUAAUACGGAGGAUGCAAGCGUUAUCCGGAAUGAUUGGGCGUAAAGCGUCCGUAGGUGGUUGAGCAAGUCUGCUGUUAAAGCUCGGGGCUAAACUCCGAAAAGGCGGUGGAAACUGCUCGACUAGAGUGUGGUAGGGGUAGAGGGAAUUCCCGGUGUAGCGGUGAAAUGCGUAGAUAUCGGGAAGAACACCGGUGGCGAAAGCGCUCU
rnacentral:rRNA from 1 species